rnacentral:rRNA from 1 species
GAAAUUUAACGGAUUUGGCGGCAAGAUAGCCCCUUAGAGGAACCUGCCCUGUAAACGAUGAACCACGAAUGACACAACUUUUCUUUGAAAUCAGUUUGUAUAUCGCUGUUGUCAGUUAGAUUCUUGAGAAUAUUUUCAUUUAUGAUAAAGUCAUUGACUUCAAGUAAAGGUGCAGCUUAUAGAAAAGGUAGAGGUGAGUUACAUUUAUGUGAAUAAAACGGAUAAGAUAAGAGAAAUAGUCUUUGAAGGUGGAUUUAACUGUAAAGCUUAAAGAAGCUUGGUGAGAGCUCUAUCUUGUGUACACACCGCCCGUC